UACAGAGGGUGCAAGCGUUGUUCGGAAUUAUUGGGCGUAAAGCGCGUGUAGGCGGCUUUGCAAGUCGGGUGUGAAAUCCCUCAGCUUAACUGAGGAAGUGCGCCCGAAACUGCCGAGCUUGAGUACCGGAGAGGGUGGCGGAAUUCCCCAAGUAGAGGUGAAAUUCGUAGAUAUGGGGAGGAACACCGGUGGCGAAGGCGGGUCUCUGGACAGUUCCUGACACUGAGGCACGAAGGCCAGGGGAGCAAACGGG
rnacentral:rRNA from 1 species